GACGAACGCUGGCGGCGUGCCUAAUACAUACAAGUAGAACGCUGAAGAGAGGAGCUUGCUCUUCUUGGAUGAGUUGCGAACGGGUGAGUAACGCGUAGGUAACCUGCCUUGUAGCGGGGGAUAACUAUUGGAAACGAUAGCUAAUACCGCAUAACAAUGGAUGACACAUGUCAUUUAUUUGAAAGGGGCAAUUGCUCCACUACAAGAUGGACCUGCGUUGUAUUAGCUAGUAGGUGAGGUAAUGGCUCACCUAGGCGACGAUACAUAGCCGACCUGAGAGGGUGAUCGGCCACACUGGGACUGAGACACGGCCCAGACUCCUACGGGAGGCAGCAGUAGGGAAUCUUCGGCAAUGGGGGCAACCCUGACCGAGCAACGCCGCGUGAGUGAAGAAGGUUUUCGGAUCGUAAAGCUCUGUUGUAAGUCAAGAACGGGUGUGAGAGUGGAAAGUUCACACUGUGACGGUAGCUUACCAGAAAGGGACGGCUAACUACGUG
rnacentral:rRNA from 1 species